UGCUCACUUUGGCAGCACCAGACUAACACCAGAACAAUACAGAGAAGAUGACCACGGCCGCUGCAUGAGUGACACGCAAAUUCAUGAGGCAUUCUGUAUUUUA